rnacentral:rRNA from 1 species
GACUACAUGAAGCUGGAAUCGCUAGUAAUCGCGGAUCAGAAUGCCGCGGUGAAUACGUUCCCGGGUCUUGUACACACCGCCCGUCACACCAUGGGAGUCGGAAAUGCCCGAAGUCUGUGACCCAACCUACGGGAGGGAGCAGCCGAAGGCAGGUCGGAUGACUGGGGUGAAGUCGUAACAAGGUACC